AUCUAGCAACCAAACACAGCGACAAUGUGGGCAUCGCCCGCGCCCAUUGAAACGCGCGCUGGCCGCCCAGGGGAGCCGGGCCAGGGCCCCGGCGAGCACCCAUCCGCGCCCCCCAACGCCAAAGCGAAACUUCGGCGGCCCCCUCCCCGCCCCCCACCCCCAGCCUUGGCCCCGAGGCGCUUUGUGUUUGUAACUGUUUGGUGUGUAGCACCCGCGAGGGGAUCAGAGAGACAAGAAUUACAUCUUCAAAAUGAGUCAUAACUCCUGACCGUAUGAGGGAAUGCACACGGCGGUACAGUAAGACCGCUUGACUCAGGGCUAGGCGGACCCUUUCCUCCGAAAAGUCCUCAGCCCCAAGCUCGGGAACUUGGGAAAGGAAAGAGAAAGUCCAACCGCUACGGCAAUACUUUUAAGCUCUACUAAAUGAUCGUAUCCUUUCUGGCUUCGAAACUUUUGUACCUAAAAAUCGAGAGAGGCGCUGCAUUUUUUCAGCUGAAACUGUCAAAACUUGGAGAAGGGGAAACUCGGAGGCAGGCAGGAGAGGAAGAGAAUCCUGAAAACUCGGUGGAGGUAGGGAAGAUGCUGUGCCUCGAGGAUUAGUUUAAACAGGGGGCUAUAAAAGAUGUAACAGAUGCAAACUGUAACACAAGGGCCCUUAACCCUUUCUCUGCCGGACAUACUCAGUCCCCACGCCCCGCACCUAUUGUCUCCUGUGCUCGAAGCUUUGCAGAAAACCUGGAAAACUCACAUCCCUACUCAAAAUGAGAAAAUUAGAAAAGGAGGAUGGAGGACGAGCACACCAAAAAGGGAUAAAAUGAGAGAAAAUGGGAGGAAAAAAAAACCUACCUGCGAAGUCUUGUUUGUAGUUUUGGCCAGAAAUGGUGAGAAGAAAAAGCAUGAAGAAGCCGCGAAGUGUGGGGGAGAAAAAGGUGGAAGCGAAGAAACAGCUCCCGGAGCAAACUGUACAAAAACCUCGCCAAGAGUGUCGGGAGGCAGGACCGUUAUUCCUGCGGAGCAGGUUAGAACUGAUCUCUUUCGGCCACUCUAGGAAACACAAACCUGGGGACGGACUGACGUGUUACGCCUCUUCUAAUGACAUUUUUUUCUUUUUCUUUUCUGUAGGAGAGAGACGAGAGACCCUGAAACACGCGCCACCUAUCUUUGUGGGGAGGGAUAAUUGAAGCGCCCUGAGCGUGAGCAUCAUGUGAAAACGUGAUCGCCAAGUUUCUCUCUGGGAAAGGAUCUGGGAUAGAUUAUACCUUGAAGUCUCCGCAAACGCUUUAGUGGAAGAAAUGAAAUUCCACCUCCCUCCCUUCCUCUCUCCCUCCCUUUCGCCUUCGCCUCCCUCCCUCCCUCCCUCCCUUUUUCUCCCCCCCCCCCCCCCCCCGCCCGCCCGUCAAGCCUUUGGCAUCAUUAUCCUCAUCACUAAAUCCUACAGAGUACAGGGCGGAAAACCGUGCACACCAUUCACAGAACUGGAGAACUCUAAGGGGCGAAAGUUAAAGGGAAAGAUCCCGGGUCCUCAAAUCUCAAAUCCAGAUCGUCUCUUCUUGUACAGAUAUCUCUAAUGAUCAGAUCUGAGAUGCACAACAAAUUCUGUGGAUAUCUCAGCACAGCUUCUGGAACAAAAUUAGCUAUCCUUUCUCUUAUUAUUAUUAUUAUUAUUUUCUUUUUAGGUACCAGAGCCAGAAAAAAAAAAAAAAUGCAUGAGAGCGGCAUCUUAGGGCAUGUGUGUUAGGGUGUGUGUGUGAUGAAUUUCUGGAUUGGAUCCUAAUAUUAAAAAGUAGUUUGGCAUUUUAAUAAAGGAUCUCUAAGUAAAUUAACAUAGAACACUCCCGAUCUCUGAAUCUCUCUACAUCUUAGGGAGACCUCACUAUAAAGUGAGGGAGAGAGUGUAAGGAGGCAGGAGGAGAAAAGAGAAAGGCCACAGAGAAACUUAGCAGGGAAGGAAGAGCAUGAUAUUAAACGGCAUGGGGUCUAAGUUUUGGAGUAUAUAUUUUUUGAUAUUACAAUUAAAGUAAAAUUAAAAAGAAAAGACUCCACCUUUGCUCUGAAGGGAUUGGUUAUGCAAAUAUGGAAGGGAUUUCCUGGAGAAUACAGCUUUCUACUGUAUGGUUAAUUAAAUAAUCACUCAAAAGCUUCCAACGUGACGCUUCUGUCGUAAUCCAAUCAGGUUACAUAGGUCCUAAACAAGAAAGAUAUUUUCCACAUCUGGAAGUCAGCAAUUUAGCAAGUACUGCACAUUAUUAACCAAUUCAGAGCCCACUUCCCAGGGGAAUUUUUUUGAAGUUUAAGUGUUCUUAACCAAUGCUCUGCUGUUUUGUUAAUCAAAAAGCUGGUUUACACUGCACAUAAUUGGAACUAAUAUAGAAGUAAAUAAAGACAGCCAAAUUUGAGGAUGCUGAGCACAGGCAUUUAUCGGAAAAGGAAGAAAUCUCCUUUCCUCGGAUGGUUCAGGCUCAAUUUCUUAAAGAACUGUAAGACUUUUUUUCCCCCUAAAGAGUGAAAGUGCUUGAGAACCUCAGAGCACAAAUAAACUUCUAGUCUCACAGCAUUUAGGAUCCUUUGGAAAGGUAAAGGUGGAGGAGGUGUGAAGACCAGAGAGCUGCCUCGCACCAAUUUUUAAGCUUUAAUAUUGUUAAAUACGUUACACCCUCCUGUUUCCAGUCUGAUGAAAUCUGAAACAAAUAAUACCCUGAUCCAACACUAUAUUAAGAUAAACUGCUUUGAACUAUGCUUUGAAUGUGUGCCUAAAGCAAGACUUUGAAUGCAAGAGUCACUGGCAAUUGCACUCAAAGGAGGGACAAACUACCACAUGGGUUGCCACAUCCACACUCCCAGAGGUACACGUCUUUGUAUUUUGUAUGUUUUGGGGGGUAGGGUGGGGAGGGGGUGGUUAAUAGCUACCAAGCACGACCACAGCUAGAUCUUGUUCUAGGAUGCAAGAAAGAUUUUCACAGUUGGUUACAGACUCACCUCUUUCCUAAUUUAAAUAUUUAUUAUAAUAGCUGCUGGAUAAAUUAACUCUCUCCCCCCACCCCAUCACAGAUAAAGUGUCUAUAGAAGAAAGGUAUUCAGGAUCUUCAGCUUAAAAUUAUUGAUAAAUAAAAUCAAAUAUUUUCAACAUGGGUCAGAUACAUUUUGAAUUUUAUAUUUUACAUUUCUUUCACUGUUAUAUAGCUAUACUAAAUAUAUGUGUGACCUAUCAAGUUCCUCUUCUAAGAUUUAGCACCACUGUUCAUGUCCAUUUUUCUUCUCCUUUUUUUCUCUUUUUUAAUUUAAAAAAUUGGAGUCCAGCUUUCUCUAGAAGUUUGCUUUACAGCCACUCCUCUUUCACUCCUAAGGAAGAAGGAGCCCAUUGCCUAGAGUGAUUCCAGGCAAUACUCUUCAGGCAUCCAGGUAGCCAUUGGAAGCUUACAGCCCAGACACACACAAGCGUAACCUCAGGUCAAAGGAUCUAACCGAAUAGCUAACAAAACACUUGUCUUUAUUAUGUAUAUUAAAUGUCAAGUUACUUAGGAUCUGACUUAAAAAAAAAAAAAAAGACCCUUAAGUAUUUCCACUGAAAACACCUAAUCAUCUGAUUACCCUGGACUCAGUAAUCGUUCACGUGGCAGGAGACAGUCCCCAACAUGUAGCACUGGGAGUUCCGACUGGCCAGUAUUUGAUUUGGGGUGAAAAAGCAACCUUCCAAGUUUCCAUAAAGGUGGAUGUUUGGAUGUUGGCACGGGAAGGGUCUCUCAGAGGGGUGAGCGCGCGGCUAGGUUGCCCCUCGUUCCUGACUGGCACGCCCCUCCCCAGGCAUUUGGCCGAGAGAGUUCCCAACGUGGCAGAGGUGAUGGGGUUGGGUGGAAGCCGGAAUAUAAAUUUGUUCCGAACAUUCUCUCAGUCCGAGGGCCAGGUCCGGGGACAAUGGGGAUCGUGGGAUCAGGGGGAUGCAGGAGCGCAGGACGCAGAGAAAAGUCGAGAGAGGACUGGGGGCUGCUGGCUUUCGGCUCCUCACACAGCAAAAUAAGUCCUGCAAAUGAAUCGCUCCUUCUCUCUGUCUUCCCCAUUAAUAAUCCACUUCGAGAUUAGCGCAGACGAAAGAGAUUAAAACAACAGAUACACGGAAAUGUGAAAUAAUAUUGCAAUCAACAUUGAAGGGGGAAAAAUAAUUCUUUAGGGUUUCCAUGGGCAAAACAAACUGCCUGCCUACCUCAGGAUUCCCUCCACCCAGGCAGGGUGAGAAGGAUGCACUUUUGUUUUCCAAUUCCCUCCAGCCAAGACCUGAUGCCUGUCCCCCCAUUCACCUCUCAGUCUGUCAAUUUCCUCAACUUUCACAGCCGCUCCCCCCUCCCCCGCUCAGCUUGGCGGCCCAGAUGCCCGAAGAGAUACAAUGUUUCUGCCCUUGAAUACACAGGCUGUAGAAGGAAUUGGAAUUUGGCCAUAGUUAAUGAUUUUUUUUAAAGCAAAUUCUGUUUAUUUUGUACCAUGUGGAGAGAAUAAAAAAAGGAACCUAUUCUCGUUUUGAAAUGGAACUGAUCUUUCAUCUGGAGGAAUUAUUCGACCUUGUGUUGUGACUCAGGAGGUGGGCAACUUCUUUUGGAGUUCCAAGCAAAGGGUGAUAAAGGGGACCCUGCAUUGGGUGUGUGUGGAGGGGGUGGGGGGCGGCAGGGGUCCAAGGCAAGCCAAACGGUUUUCUCACGUGCAGACUCGCAAUCCAAUCCAUUCGGAGUUGAGCCUAGGAUAGGAGGGGAAAGUCUAUUAAAAAAAAAAAAAAAUCAGGAGCAUCUCUCUGAGAAGCCCUUUCAAACAAAACCAAAACAGAACCAGAGAAGCUCAGACCGUCCCUAACAUCCCUGCUGCGAGACCCGCAGGCUGUGGAAUCUCGCACGUCACCUGGUCCCAGCAGGGCUGCCAGCUGAGGGGUUUAUUUUAUUUUAUUUUAUUUUUUUGAAGUAAAGGCUGAAUCUCGGCUUCAGGGCUUUUGCCAACGUCUCCACUGACAGGAACCAGCAAACUUCAGGACCCAAAUGAGCAUCUUAAUUUAUUGAUGCUAAACAGGUCAAGACUAACCACCAGACAUUUGGACAUCAGCAUAGGAGACUGGGUGUGACCUGUACCUUUUUUCUCCCUCUGACAAUGGGACCAGAAAUGGUUUGCACCUGCAAAUUGUCUAGUGACCUGGAGAUUACUUCAUGCUUGCUUCAAGAUCCUCCUGCCUUGACCUCCCAAAGCCCUCGGAUUACAGGCAUGAACCACCACAACUGGAUCGCCUUUACUCUCAAUCAAAUUGUUUAUGACAUGCAAUCAGAUAACUUUCAAGGUGAAGAAUUCAGUUCUUAAAUACACAGUGCUUGUUAACCUAUCUAGAAAAGGAAACGGUCAACUGGAGACUUUGGUUUGUUGCAGAAGCUGUUGGUUUUGAUCUGUUCCUCCUUGGCACCAGGGGAGGUUAGGAAGAGCGAAUCUAAACAAGAUUGGCAAAAAAGCUUCACAUGUGAGAUAAAUGCACUCAAAGAUUCCUCACAAGUAGCUCUUUGGAGCUUCAGAUGUGAAAUGGAUCAUUCCUCAAUCUGUAAUAGACCCUUCUGUGAAGCUCUUCAAUCAAACUAGAGAAUUCAAGGCGUUUUGUAGCAUCCUAAACAGAAGGAUAUUGCAGGGAGCUGAUUCUGCUUUGAUCCUUGUGCUUGUUGUCAAAGCGCUUGGGAUUGAAGAGACUGUUGGCUACAAUUGACUGUGACAAUUAGGAGAUGAUCAGAGCCCUAGAGUGGAGCACUUAAAGGGUUUGCAUUUAAAACACUCUUGGAGCACCAAUUGUCUAAAAUUCUGAGCUGCAGAAGUCUGCUUCAUGAUUCCUCAGGCCUAGCAUGGGAAUAUAGGGAAACUAACACCUGCUGGGGCAAUUACCUAUGUGGUUUUGGAUUUGAUGACCAGUUUCUUUUGAUUGGAAAUUACUAUGUUAACUCUGACCUGGAAGACAGUGAAUUUAGAAUGCCCUGUUGAUCUGAACGUCUUGAUCACUGCCUUUGGUGGGCUUUUUAUUAAGCUUGAUGUAGACUUGACUCCUGGAAGCUGGAGAUGCUGACCUCCAUUUUGAAAACGGAAAAUAAAAGCCACAGAUCUAUGAAGGUCUAAGGCGAAGUUCAGAAAAGCUGUAUCGACUGUUGAGACCUGGCGACUUGUUUAAAUUUCAUUAGCCUCACUUCUAUGAACUCUCAGAGCUGAUUACCAACUCCUACCACUUUUAACCCUCAUCCAGGAACGAACUUAUGUGUUUCCCAUUCUGAGUGGGCUUCAACAUCCUUGCAUAUGUUCAGUUCUUAAAAACCUGUUGAAAUGAGAGAUCAGGAGACAUAGGAAGAAUGGCAGAAGAGAGUGUGGUCUGCUGGAGUUUCCUGGUGGUACAUUCCAGAUGCUGUUUGCCUGGGUAUUACUGGCAGAGGCUGCAGAACAGCAAGACUACUGCCCGUUCCUUCCUCUGGAAGCUUUGUCCCAGAGUGACACCCGUCAGAUGCCAGCCAGAGCUUUCCUGUAUGAAGUGUCGGUCAGCCCCUCCUGGGAGAUGUCUCCAAGUCAAGGUACAUCGGGGUCAGGGGCCCACUUGCAGAGGCACUAUGUCCCUUAAUCGAGCUCAAACACUGUGCUGGGAGAUCUGAUGCUCUCUUCAGAGCCAUCAGGCAGGGAUUUUUAAGUCUGCUGCAGUUACUCUCUCAGCUGCCCCUUCCCCCAGGUGCUCUGUCCCAGGGAAAUGGAAGUUUUAUCUAUAAGUCCCUGACUAGGGCUGUUGCCUUUUUUUCAGAGAUGUCCUGCCCAGAGAAAAGAUGCAGUCUGGCUAUUGUGCAACAGUGAGCUCACCCCAGUUUGAACAUUGCGUUGGUUUUGUCUAUACUGUGAGGGUAAAACUGCCUACUGAAGCCUCAGCAGUGGUGGACAUUCCUCUCCCCACCAAGCUGGAGCAUCUCAGGUUAAGCUCAGAUGGCUGUGCUAGCAGUGAGAAUUUCAAGCCAGUGGAUCUUAGCUUGCUGGGCCCCAUGGGGGUGUGACCCACUGAACCAGACCACUUGGCUCCCUGUCUUCAUCCCCCUUUUCAGGGUAGUGAAUGGUUCUGUCUUGCUGGCAUUCUAGGCAAUGGGGUAUGGAAAAAAACUCCUGCGGCUAGCUUGGUGUCUACCUAAAUGGUCACCCAUUUUUGUGCUUGAAACCCAAGGUCCUGGUGGCAUAGGCAACAGAUGGAAUCUCCUGGUCUGCGGGUCACAAAGACCAUGGGAAAAGCACAGUAUCUGGGCCAGAGUGCAUGGUACAGUCUCUAAUGGCUUCCCUUGGCUAGGAGAGGGAGUUCCCUAACCCCUGUAGUUCCCAGUGAGGUGGCACCCCACCCUGCUUUGACUCACUCUCCGUGGGCUGCAUCUAACCAGUCCCAAUGAAAUGAACCAUGUACUUCAAUUGGAAAUGCAGAAAUCACCCACCCUCUGUGUCAGUCUCUCUCUGAGCUGCAGACUGGAGCUGUUCCUACUCUGCCAUCUUGCCAGCAAGUCCCAAUUAUGACUUUCUUUACAGAAAUUUUAAGUGGAGUAAGCUCUGAACUUGAUGAGUGUAAUUUAGUUGUUCAACUAUCAGUAGCACUACUGGGACUCUCUGAUGGAAGAUUCACUCAUGGAAUUGAGAUGAAAAGCAUCCAUAAAUCAGUUGACAAGAGAAAAAUCUGCUAUUGUAUAAGAGAUAUAACAGUGUCUGUUACCUCAAGAUUAUGAAGAUUAUAUAAUCUUUGGUCAUUCAUGCCAUUGUCUUUAUCACCAGCAGAAUAAUAGCAAUAUCAACCAAUGCUAUAUGGAUUUGCUUCUGGAUAUAUGGAAAAAAAGAGAUUAUGAGACCACCACUGAUUUUUAAAAGCAUAACAAUCUAAUGGUAAAUAUCAAAAUUAGGAAUAACAUUUUAAUUUUCAAAAAUAUAUGUUUUAUGAUGCUUUCUAGUUUAAUUUCUAAUAAGGUUAAACCCCUCACCCAUCCCAAAAUGACCUACAACCCACAAGUUUUAUCUCAUAUUUUGAGAAUCUCAUACUGACUUUGGUCUUUUUUACUGAAUCCAUAAUACUGUGGUUCACUCACAUUUUAUCCUGGUAUUAUAAUGCUAUAAUUCAAUUCAACAGAAUGCUAUUAUAUUCCAUAAUCUUAUACCAUAUAUAAUAGUUUUCUUUACUUCGUUCCUUUCUCUUUGGUUUCAGGAUUGUUUAUCUAAUUGGGAUGUUUUUCUUUCAUUUUUUUUUCAGUUUUUUCCAUAGUCUUCUCAAAUUACAUCUUUUAAAGUCUCUCUCUCUCUCUCUCUUUUUUUAAACACUAUUUCUCUCAUCCCUAGUUACUCAUAUUAUGUUCUUUAAUGACAUUUCAUGUUAUAAAACUCUAGGAAUGAUGUACUAAUGGGACAAUACUCAAAGUAUGGAUUCAAGAGAAUAUGCAUGAAAAAAUCACUUGUCUGCUCUGGUAUUGGUUGCUGGUGCUAAUUUAUUUACACUCAUUGUUUGUAAGUAUCUAGGUGAAGACAAAUAUCUCAACUAAACUAUUUAUUUUCAGAGGUGAUUAGAACUCUAAGAAGUAUUUCAGGAUGAUACUAAGAGGCUGUAGUUAUCGACUGUGGUGUAUAUAUCAGAUUGAAGCCCGGAGCAUGGCCACAUCAUUAUGACAGUAGUUUAAGUUGUUAAGAAGCUCAAGGACCAACAAGUGAGAAUGUAAUUCUCUAUCAGGAUUGCCAGCUGUUUUUAAGUGUUUGGAGACCAAGAUGAAGACCACAAGAAUCAGUGGCAGAUUGUCAAAGCAAUGAUGCAGAAGCCUACCAUUACCGUUAUGAGCCACAAGAGGUACAAUUGUGUUUCCUGCAAUGACGAAAUCCUCACUGAGCUCAUUGAAAGCCUGGGUAUAAUUAGUUUGAAAACAUUUCUGGAAUUCAAAACUUUUUUUUAAGGAAAAGAAUGAUCUGAAUAUAUAGCAUAUGCAGUAGUGAGUUUGUGAGAGGAAACUGGGAAAGUCAUUUGCACAGUUCUUUUACUGACUUAAACAUUCUUAAUUAGAUUUGUGGGUUUUAUAUGAGAAUGGAUAAAGGGGCAUACUGCUAAACUUUUGCUCUAAAAGCUUUUACUUUGGAGCUGAAUGUAGAUAUGUGCGCUUCUACUGGCAAAUUUAACAAGAGAGAAACAUCUAUCAGAAUUCUUGUAUUUAAAUCUACCUCCAUUCACGGCAGUUUCAAAGAUUAUGACAAUAAUCUGAAACUUGAAUUAGAUGCAAAUCUAGAGUUGCAAUAGUUAUGCUAAUUCUUGCAGAGAGAGAUUAUCAUAUUAUCGCUUUUAUUCAUCUUCCUUUUAGCCUCUUUUAGUGAAUUAGUCCCCUUUUAUUAAAUAAUAAAACUCUUACUUUCAACAUGACAGAUAGAAUCCUGGCUUCAGGGUGAUGGCUAUUAAAAUAACCCAUGCCUAAACCCAGAAUUACACAUGUUCUUUCCUACUAUAUGCUUCUAAAAUAGCCAUUCUAUGUGUUACUAGAGAACCCAAUAUGUGGUUACAACAGGUAUGUUAUACAUAAGGGAGUAUUUAAGACUUUCGAACUAGAAAUUGGGUCAAAUAAUGGGACCUUAAAAAAAGUGUAUAGUCUUCUUCCCAUGCAAAAUAUGAGUAAUAUUAUCUAAUAUCUAGGAUUGUUGAGAAAAUUACACAUGAUGCCUAUACGUUUCUUAAUGCAAUACCUGCCAUUUCAUAAAUAGUCAGCAAAUAAUAGCUAUCAAAAUUAGAAUUGUUUUAAAUUAUUCUGGCCCCCCAUGGUUCACACAAAGUCUUUUUUUUAAAACCACAAAUUUACCACUUAGUGAGGUCAAGGCAAUUUGGGAUACCUCUGUCUGAAGUGGUUGGUUAAGUUUACCAUGAAUAGUUAAACAUAGUAGGUUUAAAAUGGCUAUCAUUGUGCAACAUUAGAUAGUGAUCCAUUUAGAAUGUGUAAUUAUGUUUUUCAUAUGGUAUAGUCCUCUUUUAGACUUUUUAAUAAGCUGUUUGCAGUCAGCAUUUACUGUAUUUGGUAGUCAGUGUUUACCGUAGUUUGGGAAGCAUAUUGUAAGUGGUAGAAAGACAUAACUUGUAAGAAUAGGACUGAAUGUAAGUGGUGAGUUGGAUGUUUUCAGUUGGGACACACAGGAUCAGCUUGCACAAACUUCUUACUUAAUAGGUAUUAUAAUUAAGGUUUAGAGGAAUGAAAUGAUUUGCUAAAAUGGCUAGAGUCAUAACUGGAACUCAAGGCUCCUGACUUCUGGUGUUGUGGUAUACUGCUUCUCUUUACAAUUCUUACUUAUUUGAAGAAUGUAUGGCACAUCUAUUUAAAUGUUCCCAGUAUCAGAUUUUUCUUAUGUCUAAUACUAUUUUCAAAUAGUGUAUGCGCUCUAGUCUUAUUUGAAGCACUUUAGAAAAUGUUCAUAAGUAUUAGAAACACGUUUUAGACUCUAAAUUUCUAUCAAGAUGAGGUUUAAUAGUAAUGAAUAAUAAUAAAGAGUCUUUUUCAUGGUCUUGAUGCCACUAUCUCGAUUUUUCACGACUUAUUUGUCUCAUUUCAGCUUACCUUUUAAAUCAUUCUUGGUUAUUCGUUAUUUAGGGCACAACAAAUAUCUUGACAGUACCAUUCAAAUAUAGUUCCAUUAGAAUAUCUAGAGGUGGCUAAGAACCCCAGCUCACCAUGACAUUAUCACCCAGGCUCUAUCUCCCUAGCAUAAAGAGUGAACUUCAGUUUCCAUUGCUGGCUGUGUAGUGCCUAAAAUGAAUUAACACAUAUUUCUUAUUCCUAGAGUUGAAAAGUGGUAGGAAAAAAACAUUAAAUUGUCAGAUGCUGAAAACAAGAGUUCUAUACUUAGGGUGGAUACACAUUUCUGGAAUUUUGCUAGAGGUUAUGCAAUCAAUUGUGCCUUUAAUUGUAUUCUUACUUUUAUGGUGAUGUGAUAUCAAAAAGAUUGGGUUGAUUAAGUGAAAAAUAUAAAUCAGUAUACCUGGGUAUUUACACAGAGAAUAUAACCGAGUAGUGUCCUUAAUGGUUAUGUAAUACCAAAAUACUAAAACCACACAGAUGAUUUAAGUUGGAUUAAUAUCUUGAAACUACAUUUUUUGGUCACAUACUGGGAACACAAAUUGUUUUGUCCAUCUUAGUGAUCUACAGGAUUAUCAGCAACUAUGACAGUAGAAUGGGAAAAUUUCUUUGUUAAGAUUGUAGAAAAUGACAUGAAUUAUUGUAGUCCUAUUGAAUUUAUGUCAAUAACUUUUGAGUGUUUAUGUAUACUGUCAGGCAGGUUUGCAUUACUUCAUAUUAGUUGUGUUUUUUGGAAUGUGUUUUCAGUGCUGCACAGGUUUUACAUGGCACAUUGCAUUCUAUGAAAACGUCUCUCUCCAUUUCAGGACCAAGAAGUCUAUAUGAAAGCUCCAUUAUUCAUAUAAAAAACUGUUGUAAGCAGUCUCGCAGUGGCUUAGGUAUUAAUCAUAAUACUGAGUUUUAUUAGUUGAGGCCCUUAAAGACCUUACUUCUUCCAGGAAAAGGCACUGUCAUAUAUUGUCAUCAACACUUCAUAUAUAGGCAUACUUUUUGGAGAUAUUGCCAGUUUGGUUCUAGACCACUGCAAUAAAGCAAAUUUCACAGUAAAGCAAGUCAUGAAUGUUUUGGUUUCUCAAUGCAUAUAAAACUUAUGCCUAUACUAUAUCAUAGUCUAUUUAGUGUACAACAGCAUUAUGUCUAAAAAAAGUACAUGGCUUAAUUAAAAGAUACUUUAUUGCUAAAAUAGUGCUAACAAUCAUCCACGCCUUCAGUGGGUAAUAAUCUUUUUGCUGGUAGAGGGUCUUGCCUCGAUGUUGAGGGCUGUUGACUGAUGAGGGUAGUGGUUGCUGAAGAUUAGGGUGGCUGCUGCAAUUUCUUAAAAUAAGACAAUGAAGUUUGCACAUCAGUUGACUAUUUCCUUCACCAAAGAUUUCUCUGUAGUACAUGAUGCAAGUUACCAGUAUUUUAGCUAUAGUAGAACUUCUUUCAAAAUUGUAGUCAAUCUUUUCAAACCCUGCUCUGCUUUACUAACUAAGUGUAUGGAAUAUUCUAAAUUCUUUAUUGUCAUUUUAACAUUGUUAACAGCAUCUUCAUCUCAUGAAACCAUUUUAUUUACUCAUCCAGAAAAAGGAACCUCUCAUCUGUUCAAGUUUGAUUAUGAGAUGGCAGCAAUUCAGGCUCCACUUCUAAUUCUAGUUCUUUUACUGUCUCUACCACAUAUGCAAUUACUUCCCCCACUGAUGACUUGAACCCCUCAAGUCAUCCAUCAGGAUUGGAAUCAACUUCUUCCAAACUCCUGUUAACGUCAAUAUUUUGACCACCUCCCAUGAAUUUCAAAUGUUCUUAAUGGCAUCUAGAAUGGUGAAUUCUUUCGAGAAGAUUGUCAGUUGACUUUGCUCAGAUCUGUCAGAGGGAUCACUAUUUACAGUAGUUAUAGACUUAUGAAAUGUAUUUCUUAAAUAAUAAGACUCAAGGAGGUAGCUGGCAAGAUGACCAAAUAGGAACAGUUUGGUCUGCAGCUCCUAGCGAGAUCAACACAGAAGGCACAUGAUUUCUGGAUUUCUAACUGAGGUACCUGGCUCAUCUCAGUGGGACUGGAUAGACAGUGGGUGUAGCCCAUAGAGGGUGAGCUGAAGCAGGGUGGGGCAGUGCCUUACCUGGGAAGCACAAGGGGUUAGGGAACUCUCUCCCAUAGCCAAAGGAAGCUGUGAGGGACUGUGCCAUGAAGGAUAGUGCAGACUGGCCCAGAUACUGCACUUACCUCACAGUCUUUGCAACCCACAGACCAGGAGAUUCCCCUGGGUGCCUACAGCACCAGGGCCCUUGGUUUCAGGCACAAAACUGGGUGGCCAUUUGGGCAGUCACUGAGCUAGCUGCAGGAAUUUUUGUUUUUAAAUAUAUAUAUACUCCAGUGGUGCCUGAAACACCGGCAAGACAGAACUGUUCAAUCCCCUGGAAAGGGGGCUGAAGCCGGGAAGCCAAGUGGUCUAGUUCAGCAGACCCCACCCCCAUGGAACCCAGAAAGCUAAGAUCCACUGGCUUGUAAUUCUUGCUGCCAGCACAGCAGUCUGAAGUUUACCUAGGAUGAUGGAGCUUGGUGGAGGGAGGGGCGUCUGCCAUUACUGAGGCUUGAGUAGGCAGUUUUACCCUCACAAUGUAAACAAAGCUGCCGGGAAGUUAGGACUGGAUGGAGCCCACUGCAGCUUGGCAAAGCUGCUGUAGCCAGACUCCCUCUCUAGAUUCUUCCUCUCUGGGCAGGGCAUCUCUGAAAAAAAAGGCAGCAAUUCUAGUAAGGGGCUUAUCGAUAAAACUCCCAUCUCCCUGGGACAGAGCAGCUGGGGGAAGGGGCAGCUGUAAGUGCAGCUUCAGCAGACUUAAAUGUUCCUGCCUGCUGGCUCUGAAGAGAAUAGUGGAUCCCCCAAUCCAGUGCUCAAGCUCUGCUAAGGGACAGACUGCCUCCGCAAUUGGGUCCCUGACCCCCAUGCCUCCUGAUGGGGAAAAACCUCCCAGCAGAGGUUGACAGACACCUCAUAACAGGAGAGCUCUGGCUGGCAUCUGGCAGGUGCCCCUCUGGAUGAAGCCUCCAGAGGAAGGAACAGGCAGCAAUAUUUGCUGUUCUGCAGCCUCUACCAGUGAUACCCAGGCAAACAGGGUCUGGAGUGUACCUCCAGGAAACUCCAGCAGACCUGCUGCAGAAGGGGCCUGACUUUUAGAAGGAAAACUAACAAACAAAAAGGAAUAGCAUCAACAUCAACAAAAAGGAUGUCCACACCAAAAUCCCAUCUGAAGAUCACCAACAUCAAAGACUGAAGGUAGAUAAAUCCACAAAGAUGAGGAAAAAACAGCACAAAAGGCUGAAAAUUCCCAAAACCAGAACACCUCAUCUCCACCAAAGGACCACAACUCAUUGCCAGCAAGGAAACAAAACUGAAUGGAGGAGUUUGAUGAAUUGACAGAAGUAGACUUCAGAAGGUGGGAAAUAACAAACUCCUCCAAACUAAAGAAGCAUGGGCUAACUCAAUGCAAGGAAGGUAAGAACUUUGAAGAAAGGUUAGAGGAAUUACCAACUAGAAUAACCAUUUUAGAGAAGAACAUGAGUGAACUAAUGGAACUGAAAAAUACAGCACAACAACGUCAUGAAGCAUACACAAGUAUCAAUAGCCAAAUCGAUCAGGCAGAAGAAAGGAUAUCAGAGAUUGAAGGUCAACUCAAUGAAAUAAAGUGAAAAGACAAGAUUAGAGAAAAAAAGAGUAAAAAAAAACCAAACCCUCCAAGAAAUGUGGGACUAUGUGAAAAGACCAAAUCUAUGUUUGAUUGGUGUACUGAAAGUGACUGGGAGAAUGGAACCAAGUUGGAAACACUCUUCAAGAUAUUAUCCAGGAGAACUUCCCAAACUUAGAAAGGCCAACAUUUAAAUUCAGGAAAUACAGAGAAUGCCACAAAGAUACUCCUCAAGAAGAGCAACCCCAGAACACAUAAUUGUCAGAUUCUCCAAGUUUGAAAUGAAGGAAAAAAAGUUAAGGGCAGCCAAAAGAAAGGUCGAAUUACCCGUAAAGGGAAGCCCAUCAGACUAACAUCAGAUCUCUCUGCAGAAACCCUACAAGCCAGAAGAGAGUGGGGGCUAAUAUUCAGCAUUCUUAAAGAAAAGAAUUUUCAACCUGGAAUUUCAUAUCCAGCCAAACUAAGCUUCAUAAGCAAGGAAUACAUAUAAUCCUCUACAGACAAACAAAUGCUGAAAGAUUUUGUCAACACCAGGCCUGCCUUACAAGAGCUCCUGAAGGAAGCACUAAUUAAGGAAAGGAAAAAUUGAUACCAGCCACUGCAAAAACAUACUGACCUGUAAAGACCAUCCACACUAUGAAGAAACUGCAUCAAGUAAUGUGCAAAAUAACCAGCUAGCAUCAUAAUGACAGGAUCAAAUUUAUACAUAAAAAUAUUAAACUUAAAUGUAAAUGGACUAAAUACCCCAAUUAAAAGACACAGAUUGGCCGGGCGCAGUGGCUCACGCCUGUAAUCCCAGCACUUUGGGAGGCUGAGGCAGGUGGAUCACGAGGUCAAGAGAUCAAGACCAUCCUGGUCAACAUGGUGAAACCCCGUCUCUACUAAAAAUACAAAAAAUUAGCUGGGCACGGUGGUGUGUGCCUGUAAGCCCAGCUACUCAGGAGGCUAAGGCAGGAGAAUUGCCUGAACCCAGGAGGCAGAGGUUGCGGUGAGCCGAGAUUGUGCCAUUGCACUCCAGCCUGGGUAACAAGAGCGAAACUCCAUCUCAAAAAAAAAAAAAAAAAAAAGACAAAA